ACAAGUAAAAUUUAGUUUUUGUUGUGGAGAUCAUUACUGCUGUAUUAUUGAGGGGGUUGUCUCAUCUGAAUAUCCCAUAUUAGUUGCGUUGUAUUGGUUUUGUUUUAAUAUACAUGCCUAACUUGGCAUUCUUUUUAUGUGGCAUAGGUUCAUCGUAACUCAUUCCAAAAGAAGGUCAUGCUACUCUUUGGAGCAGGCCACGCUGCAGAGGAUAAGCCCAAUUUCUCAAAUCAGCGUGGACCAACUCAAAGAGCCGAAGCCUUAGCUGCCUUGACUUCUGCGUUUAAGUUGUCUUCUGGUACCAAAAGUGGUAGUGCUUCAAGGCCGUCAGUCAUGGGUCAAGGAUCACAGAGGGCAGCUGCAGUAGCUGCUUUAUCACAAGUUCUCACUGCUGAAAAGAAGCGGUCACCGGAAUCAUCUCCAGCUUGAUCAGCAGAAGCCAACCCUCUAGCUGGAAUAAAGAGUGAAAAUGCACUUUCAGAAGUAGAGGAUUCUAAAGAAGAUUCUGAAGUUAAGGCCAAACCACCACAAAACUACAACAGAAACAAAUAUGUUCAUGGUAACUCAUUCCAGAAGAAGGUUAUGCUACUCUUUGGAGCAGGCCAUGCUGACGAGGUGAGCCAAGAGAGGUCCAAACCCAGCCUCAGUGAAGUCUGUAUGGAACAACCAAAGUUUUGAGAAGUCAGCCCUGGCGUCUCACACACGAGACACGUCUUCGCCCUUUUGCCUUUCUGUGAAUUUUGUCAUGUUGGCGAGGACUUCGGUAUACGUCUGUGUAUAGUUUUGUUUGGCUAACUUAGAUUUGAAUG